AUUAACAUUCACUUGCACAGUGUAAAUGCCAAAUAAAGAACGCGGAAGAAGACCCACCUGAGUUGCUGGGAUGAUGCUGUCUUGGGUCGAAGGUCAAUGAAGGCGCUCCUCUCUGCUUCUGGUUGCCUCGUUCGGAGAUGAAGGAACGAAGAUGAUGAUGAUACCAGUUCUCCACGAGUGGUUUUGAUUCUGAGUUCUUCCUCUUUUCUGCUAUCUUUCGGUUUUCUUGCCUCUUGUUGCUGCCUCUGGUUAUUCUCUGUUUUCUUCUCUUGUAAUUCUUCCUUCGGAGAAAUUGGCCCCGCAACCGGUCCUGUCUUUGCAGGACUAUGUUAUGGAAUCCCUGAACGAGAUUAUUGGCAAUAGAUGUCAUCCAAGAUCGGGUUUGUUGCAGAUUAUCGGCUCCCCUGCUGGCUCGGGAUGGAGAAGACAUGGCAACGGCGGCGUUUUGGCUGGAAACGGGAGUUUUCAAUUUGACCCCUGGGCUUUGGAAAUUCUGCAAUUGGACCCCUAAUCAAUUAAAAGUUCUUUUAAUUUUUUC